UUCUGGUGUGUUUUGUGGAUCGACCAGAGCAAAGAACCAAGGAGAAAAACCCUAGUUUCAGAAAUUCACAAGAUUAAGAAGGAAUUAAGAGCCCAAGUUAAUGCAUGAACUCAAAUCUUUAACCAUCUAAGCUUGUGCAACAAAUGGUGUAAAGGAGGAAGGUUCGAGUCACGCGAAGCAACAAGGAAAUCAAGAACGAGGUAAAUCUCAAGUUAAAUGACAAGCUUCGCCCAGUCCGAACACACCUCAAGCCCGUCAUGCGUUCCGCACUUUUGUAAAGAAGACAAUGUUUAAUACUUUGUCACUUUUGUCCAUGUCUAGUAGUUAAUCCUAGUUUUUAUUAUGUUUGUCUUUUGAAAACUUAGUCGUAUGUAAGUACAUAAACUUAAUGGUUUCGUAGGUG